GUGGCAGGGUCAGGCGUGUGAGAUGCGAGUUUUCGAGACGCGAUUGUUUAGGUCCACGCGCGGAGCUUGCGGCAAGAGUGACCCCAGCUUCCGGCGAUUCGGAAGUCGGAGUUUGGCAAGGAAGCUUCGAGCGUUGGCAUAAAAGCUCGCGGAAGCCGCUCGUACGGGGUUAGUCGGUGUGAGGUGUAAAGACCCGAGACAACCCGGUCCAGCCCCUGUUAGAGCAGCUAGUCAAAGAAUAAAGUGUAAGUUAUAAAAAAAGUGACGAGACGGCUGGUCAGUCUUGAAAGGACCAGCCGACGAGGAGAGACCACCACAAUUUUCAUUAUUAUUCGCAGGGCUAGCUGAUUUGAGUAGAAGGGGUUUGAAUCCAAAUCCAAGUCUUCCACUGAUUUUCCCUAUUCCCAUUCGACACUCCUGCUAACUAUUCGUUCCCCGAUCAGUGCCAACGGCGACGACUAGUUCGGAUAGUUAGAGUGGAGGACGUGUCUGUUCGGUUGCGAUCUCAACGAGGUCGUGGGUGAUCAGACCCGCCGUCACACAUGUAACCGUCCGCCUCGUAGAUUUCAUUUUUCCAUACUGUAACGCAGAAACUUAAUACAAUUAUGUGUCGCAUAUCCUUUUGACUAUCCUUUUGUGUUCGCUCUGUCAUGGUGUGUUGGCGAGUCAUAGAGAUGUGUCGAUGACCGAUCGACUAAGGUGAC